UUCCUAUGCAUAUACUUCUU
rnacentral:ncRNA from 3 species